rnacentral:rRNA from 1 species
GACGAACGCUGGCGGCGUGCCUAAUACAUGCAAGUCGAGCGGACGAAUCGAAAGCUUGCUUUUGAUUCGUUAGCGGCGGACGGGUGAGUAACACGUGGGCAACCUGCCCUGUAGACGGGGAUAACACCGAGAAAUCGGUGCUAAUACCGGAUAACACGAAAUGUCGCAUGACGUUUCGUUGAAAGACGGCGCAAGCUGUCGCUACAGGAUGGGCGCGCGGCUCAUUAGCUAGUUGGUGAGGUAACGGCUCACCAAGGCGACGAUGCGUAGCCGACCUGAGAGGGUGAUCGGCCACACUGGGACUGAGACACGGCCCAGACUCCUACGGGAGGCAGCAGUAGGGAAUCUUCCGCAAUGGACGAAAGUCUGACGGAGCAACGCCGCGUGAGCGAAGAAGGCCUUCGGGUCGUAAAGCUCUGUUGUUAGGGAAGAACAAGUAACGCAGUAACUGGCGUUACCGUGACGGUACCUAACGAGAAAGCCACGGCCAACUACGUGCCAGCCGCCGCCGUAA